UCAGGCCAUAAUCCUAAUGAACAGAUAAAGAUGUAUCAGCAUGAUCCAAGAACCUCUGGGCAUCCAGCAAAUUGGCCAUAUGCUAAUUUCCCUCUUAGGACUCUUUCAAAAACUAAAAUGUAGCUGGAUUGAGAAAUUCUUAUGUCAUGCUAUGGCAAGACUACUACUAUGCCUGUGCUUUCUUGACAUGAGACAGAGUAAAAUAUUUCUAAACUUCCAGUAACUUUAAGUCCAAUAUUAUUCUAUAAAGACUAUCAAGACAGGUAGCUGACAAUUGGUACCCAUUUUCUAAUAUCAUCUUAUUCAUUGUACAGAAUUUCAAUAAAGCAAUUCAUAGCAUUAGAUGUCAACAAUAAUUAUUUCUAAUACAGAGCCUUCAAUGUUUGAAUUUCAAAACGUAGUUCCUCUCAACUUCCCCCAAGAUAAUUUUCUCUAGGGCAUCAUUUCUCAUUAACUCUCUAUUCAGAAGGAGGCAGACAGAGCGAGGUAAAGGAUUGAAGCUAGGCUGCUUUCAUUCAAAUUAUACAUCCUGAUAGGUAUGAAAAGAGAGAUUCAAGGUAAAAAUAGUCUUUCGUUGUCAUUAAGCAUGCUGCCCUACCUAAAUAAGCAAAGCCUUAAUAUAAGACACUGAGAGAACGUCCUAAAAGAAUAAUUUCUCAAAACACUCACAGAACUAGAGAGUUGCAGGAGCCUAUGAAAGGGUUUUCUGCAAAUGGGUUUAGCCUUAGACCCAGGGGAUGAGCAAAAACUUAAGAAGAAACUGAAAACAAGGGCAGAGUGGCAGAGUGGCAUUUUCUUCAUAAGUUUUACCCUGUGGCUGAUUUGAAGUCUAUAGCUGUUUUGAUCUUGACCUUUGCAGCCUUCUGUACUGUAGAAAAUAAGUUUACUUUGCUUAUAAAGGAUCCAGUUUGGGACACUGUUACAGCAAUGCAAAUAGAUUCAGAAUGAGAGGCACUCUAGGCAGGGGCAGGGGAGAAGCAGAAGCAGUCCUUAUUACCUUAAUGUCUUAGCCUACCUAGGAUGAAUAUAUUGAUGCCAUGGGAAGAUCAGUGUUAGCCACUGUAAAUUCUUUUUGGUUGUUAGAAGCUCUGUCUGGGCCUAUGGAGGUUUCUUCAGGACUGGAGUCAUGGUGAGUUG
rnacentral:lncRNA from 1 species